AGUACUUCAGCAUGCUCCAAGCUCAUCAUGUAUUUCCUGCUUUGGCCCUACAAUCAGCACAUUCCUCCUGGGACCCCUGGUUCCUUGGAUUGGAGAAGAGUACCAGAAACCAAGUUCUGGGCAUGAGGCAUGCUUGGAUGGGAUCUUGCUAAGCUGCCCGGGCUAGCCUCGAACUCAGAAUCCUCCUCCCUUAACAGCUCAGGUAGGAUAACAGCACAUACCAGAGCUGAGUCAGGAGCAUUCUCUGAAAGCUGCUGCCAAGCCCCUGCAUCCCUGGACUGAGCGAGCAGGUUGGCACUGCCAUCUGGAACCUCUCUUCUACCUAGACAGCAAGCACAGAAGUGGAACUUUUGGGGAUUCAGUGGAGCUCAACCUCAUAAGCACAGCUCCUAUAAGAUCAGGGAGUCAUGGACGGGUUGCCAUGGACCAUGCCUUUCUACCCAAGGUCAGUUGUGCCCCAGAAAAAGUCAGCAUAAAGCAACCCAAGUGUCCAAGACAUUGGUACUAUGUUGUAAUUUCUCAUUCUAAAUAUUACUUUUCAACUUAGUUUUGCAUUUGUAAUUUUCCUUACAGGGUUCUCAAAAUAAGUAUCA
rnacentral:lncRNA from 1 species